rnacentral:rRNA from 1 species
GUAUGGCUGUUCGCCAUUUAAAGUGGUACGCGAGCUGGGUUUAGAACGUCGUGAGACAGUUCGGUCCCUAUCUGCCGUGGGCGCUGGAGAAUUGAGGGGGGCUGCUCCUAGUACGAGAGGACCGGAGUGGACGCAUCACUGGUGUUCGGGUUGUCAUGCCAAUGGCACUGCCCGGUAGCUAAAUGCGGAAGAGAUANAGAAUUCCAGGUGUAGCGGUGAAAUGCGUAGAGAUCUGGAGGAAUACCGGUGGCGAAGGCGGCCCCCUGGACAAAGACUGACGCUCAGGUGCGAAAGCGUGGGGAGCAAACAGGAUUAGAUACCCUGGUAGUCCACGCCGUAAACGAUGUCGAUUUGGAGGUUGUGCCCUUGAGGCGUGGCUUCCGGAGCUAACGCGUUAAAUCGACCGCCUGGGGAGUACGGCCGCAAGGUUAAAACUCAAAUGAAUUGACGGGGGCCCGCACAAGCGGUGGAGCAUGUGGUUUAAUUCGAUGCAACGCGAAGAACCUUACCUGGUCUUGACAUCCACAGAACUUUGCAGAGAUGGUUUGGUGCCUUCGGGAACUGUGAGACAGGUGCUGCAUGGCUGUCGUCAGCUCGUGUUGUGAAAUGUUGGGUUAAGUCCCGCAACGAGCGCAACCCUUAUCCUUUGUUGCCAGCGGUUCGGCCGGGAACUCAAAGGAGACUGCCAGUGAUAAACUGGAGGAAGGUGGGGAUGACGUCAAGUCAUCAUGGCCCUUACGACCAGGGCUACACACGUGCUACAAUGGCAUAUACAAAGAGAAGCGACCUCGCGAGAGCAAGCGGACCUCAUAAAGUAUGUCGUAGUCCGGAUUGGAGUCUGCAACUCGACUCCAUGAAGUCGGAAUCGCUAGUAAUCGUAGAUCAGAAUGCUACGGUGAAUACGUUCCCGGGCCUUGUACACACCGCCCGUCACACCAUGGGAGUGGGUUGCAAAAGAAGUAGGUAGCUUAACCUUCGGGAGGGCGCUUACCACUUUGUGAUUCAUGACUGGGGUGAAGUCGUAACAAGGUAACCGUAGGGGAACCUGCGGUUG